GUGAGGGAAAGUUGCAAAGAACUUUGAAGAGAGAGUUCAAGAGGGCGUGAAACCGCUUAGAAGGAAACGGAUGGAGCAGACGUCAGUCUUUGAGAUUCAGCCUGAUGUCCGCGGAUAGCGCAGUUUUCCCGAUCGGACUCUGACGGGAGGCAGUGUGAUUCUGUGGAUUCGGGUGCACUUCUCGGAGAUCGCGCCAAAGGCAGUGGGUGUGUCGCGUUGACCUAGAGUUGGUGGCUUACGACUUCGGUCGUGAGUGUCUCGCUCUGGUGUUCAGUGCGGUCGCGACUACUGUGAAGGAAAGAGCGCCCGCCUCUAGCUCGUGACUGCUGGCAUUUGCACUGGUGUGGUAUGGGGCUCCGGCUUCUGGACCCGUCCCAUCGGAGUAGGUGUUCUGGUGGUAUCACGAGUGGUGCUCGGCUUUGGUGUAUUGUCUGUUACCCAUCCGACCCGUCUUGAAACACGGACCAAGGAGUCUAACAUGGACGCGAGUUACUGGGUUGCAAAACCUAAGAGCGUAAUGAACGUGAAGGCUGGCUUUUGUCGGCUGAUAUGGGAUCUGUGGCUUUUGCUGCGGCGCACCAUAGUCCCGCCCUGUCUGCAUUGUCAGUGGGGCGGAGAUAGAGCGUGCAUGUUGGGACCCGAAAGAUGGUGAACUAUGCCUGAGCAGGAUGAAGCCAGAGGAAACUCUGGUGGAGGUCCAUAGCGGUUCUGACGUGCAAUU
rnacentral:rRNA from 1 species